AUUGAACGCUGGCGGCAGGCUUAACACAUGCAAGUCGAGCGGGGGAAGGUAGCUUGCUACCGGACCUAGCGGCGGACGGGUGAGUAAUGCUUAGGAAUCUGCCUAUUAGUGGGGGACAACAUCUCGAAAGGGAUGCUAAUACCGCAUACGUCCUACGGGAGAAAGCAGGGGAUCUUCGGACCUUGCGCUAAUAGAUGAGCCUAAGUCGGAUUAGCUAGUUGGUGGGGUAAAGGCCUACCAAGGCGACGAUCUGUAGCGGGUCUGAGAGGAUGAUCCGCCACACUGGGACUGAGACACGGCCCAGACUCCUACGGGAGGCAGCAGUGGGGAAUAUUGGACAAUGGGGGGAACCCUGAUCCAGCCAUGCCGCGUGUGUGAAGAAGGCCUUAUGGUUGUAAAGCACUUUAAGCG
rnacentral:rRNA from 1 species